UGAUUGCACCUACUAAUAGAUCACCCAGCUGGAGUGCAGUGAUGCAGUCACAGCUCACGUCAGCCUCAACCUCCUGGGAUCAGGCGAUCAUCCUACCUCAGCCUUCCCAAUAGCUGGGCCUAAAGGCGCACACAACAACACCGGCUAGUAUUUUUUUUGUUUGUUUGAGACGAAGUCUCUGUCACCCAGGCUGUAGUAUAGUGCGAUCUCAGCUGACUGCAGCCUCCACUUCCUGGGUUCAAGUGAUUCUCCAGCCUUAGCCUCCUGAGUAGCUGGGGCUACAGACGCGUGCCACCAUGUCCAGCUAAUUUUUGUAUUUUUAGUAGAGAUGAGGUUUCACCAUUUGGCCAGGCUGGUCUCGAACUCCUGACCUCAGGUGAUCCAUCCACCUCGGCCUCCCAAAGUGCUGGGAUUACAGGCGUGAGCCACCACGCCCAGCCAAAAUGAUCUUUUAAUGGCUAGCGUACUCUAAGAGUUUCUGUUGUGAUGCCUGUUACCUCAGAUCAUUAACAUCUUGAUGAUAAGGACGAUGAUAAUAUCUUUUGUUUCAAUUAUAUUCUCCAGCAGUGCCUACAUUUAUUUAUUCAGCAUCAAUAUGCUGAGUGUUCUCUGGGUUCUAAGUGUUUUAAUAUAAGGUGUGGAUAUUGGUGGGAAGGAGGAUGGGUUCAAGGCAUGCAUAGAAUUGGGAGGAGCUUCCUAGGCAGAGAAUAUGAUGAGCAAAGUGGUUGAGACUUGAGAGUGUGGUGAUGCAGCAGCACAAUAAACCGUUUCGGCUGGAGGGCAACUAGGUAGUAGGAAUUGGGUUAUUAGAUUCUGAGAACCUUCAUUAACCCAGGUAAAGUAGAGUCCUGUGUCAUUUGAUGCUGCAGAUACAUUCUGAGAAAUGCAUUGUUUGGUGAUUUUGUUGUGUGAACAUCAUAGAAUGUACUUACACAAACCUAGAUGGGAUAACCUACUACAUACCCAGGCUACAUGGUAUAGCCUGUGGCUCCUUGGCUACAAACUUCUAGAACAUAUUACUGUACUGAAUACCAUAGGCAGUUGUAACACAAAGGUAUUUGUGUAUCUAAACAGAAAAGAUACAGUAAAAAUACAGGAUUAUAAUCUUGUAGGAUCACCAUCCUAUAUGUGGCCCAUGGCCUGUUGUUGACUGAAACGUUGCACGGCACAUUACUAUUUAGUCUAUAUUCUAUCAUCAUUGAGGUCGCAUCAAAGCUUUUGGGUAACUCGAUCCUAACUGGUGUAAAACGAUUGACCUGCUAGUGAUGUGUGGGACAAACUGGAGAGACUAAGACAGAGGUGCCAGUAAGGAAUCCAGAAGAUGGCUAAGGAGGAUCUGGAGCUAGGAUGGAAGUUAAGUAGAUCUAGAGGGAGGAUUGGAAGAGAUGUUGGGGAAGUUCAAUGGCUGGUAUGAGACAACUGGGUAAGUCAAAUAUCUGUGCAGAGAAUGGUGAGGCCAGUUGGCAGUGGGGACCUCAGGAAGUCCGUCUCAUUUGACCUGGUACCACUCUCCACCCCAUCCCCAGAUUAACAAGCAGAAUGAGCAGAUGCAUGCGCUGCUGGCCAUUGCCCUCACGAUGUACCCCAUGCGUAUCGAUGAGAGCAUUCACCUCCAGCUGCGGGAGAAAUAUGGGGACAAGAUGCUGCGCAUGCAGAAAGGUGACCCACAAGUCUAUGAAGAACUUUUCAGUUACUCCUGCCCCAAGUUCCUGUCGCCUGUAGUGCCCAACUAUGAUAAUGUGCACCCCAACUACCACAAAGAGCCCUUCCUGCAGCAGCUGAAGGUGUUUUCCGAUGAAGUACAGCAGCAGGCCCAGCUUUCAACCAUCCGCAGCUUCCUCAAGCUCUACACCACCAUGCCUGUGGCCAAGCUGGCCGGCUUCCUGGACCUCACAGAGCAGGAGUUCCGGAUCCAGCUUCUUGUCUUCAAACACAAGAUGAAGAACCUGGUGUGGACCAGCGGCAUCUCAGCCCUGGAUGGUGAAUUUCAGUCAGCCUCAGAGGUUGACUUCUACAUUGAUAAGGUAUGUCUGUCCCCUGGGCUUGGGGUCUUGUAUUAAGUGUUCACUAUCUUUCAUUCACUAUUGUGGGCACAUGAAGUAUACCGGGGAACAGAAUCAAAGGUUCCUGCCCUUCUGGUGCUGCCACAAGGUGCCAGGCGCGGUGGCUCAUGCCGGUAAUACUAGUACUUUAGGGGAGGCCGGGGUGGGAGGAUCUCUCUAGCCCAGGAGUUCAAGACCAGCCUGAGCAACGUAGUGAGACCUUUUCUCUAUUUACAAAAAAAAAACCACAAGAGAUAAACAAUAGAUGGGUUUUUUUUUGUUUUGUUUUUGUUUUUUGAGAUGGAAUUUCGCUCUCGUUGCCCAGGCUGGAAUGUGAUGGCACGAUCUCGGCUCACCGCAACCUCCGCCUCCCAGGUUCAAGCCAUUUUCCUUCCUCAGCCUCCUGAGUAGCUGGGAUUACUGGCAUGCACCACCAUGCCCAGCUAAUUUUGUAUUUUUAGUAGAAAUGGGGUUUCUCCAUGUUGGUCAGGCUGGUGUCAAACUCCCGACCUCAGGUGAUCCGCCAGCCUUGGCCUCCCAAAGUGCUGGGAUUACAGGCAUGAGCCACCGUGCUCAGCCAACAAUAGAUGUUAUAAUUAAACAAACUAUGUAGUAAGAGGUUGCCAAGCACUGCAGAGUAAAGGAAGGCAGAGGUGGUGGGAGGCACAGGGUGCAGUGUUAAAUACGGUGUUCAGACAGGCUUUGUUGAGAAAGUGAAGUUUAAGCUAGGCUAAGACUUGAAGGAAGUGAGGGGAGUAGUGUUUUUGUUUUUUUUUGUUUUUUGUUUUUGACAGUCUUGGUCUGUUGCCCAGGCUAGAGUGCAGUGGUGCAGUCUCGGCUCACUGCAACCUCCGCCUCCCAGGUUCAAGCAAUUCUCCUGCCUCAUCCUCCUGAGUAGCUGGGAUUAUAAGAGGCCACCAGCACACCUGGCUAAUUUUUGUAUUUUUAGUAGAGACAGGGUUUUGCCAUGUUGGCCAGGCUAGUCUCAAACUCCUGACCUCAAGCGAUCCACCUGGUGGAGAGUUCUUAAUAGCUCACCAAAGGCCGGACACGGUGGCUCAUGCCUGUAAUCCCAGCACUUUGGGAGGCCAAGGUGGACGGAUCAUGAGGUCAAGAGAUCAAGACCAUCCUAGCCAACGUGGUGAAACCCCAUCUCUACUAAAAAUAAAUUAGCUGGGCAUGGUGGCGCAUGCCUGUAGUCCCAGCUACCCAGGAGGCUGAGGCAGGAGAAUCACUUGAACCCAGGAGGCAGAGGUUGCAGUGAGCUGAGAUUGCGGCACUGCACUCUAGCCUGGCAACAGAGUGAGACUCCGUCUCAAAAAAAAAAAAAUAGCUCACCAGAUGUCUGGAGGAAGAGCCUUCCAGGCAGAGGAACAGUUAGAGCAAAGGCCCCGAAGAGGAGUGAGGCCAAUAAGUUUAAGGGACAGCUGUAGUAUGCCCAAGUGGCCUGAGAAAGGAGGCUGUGUAGAUGAGGUUGGAGAAAGGGGGAUGGUGCUUUGUAUACUGUUGGAGUACUUCACAAGUGGGAAGCCAUUGUCCUGCUGCCUUUUUUAUUUUUUUAUUUUUAGUUAGCAAUAAUCACACCUCACAUAACCUUCAUUGGCCAUACUGCCACUGUACAAAGCUUUUCUUUUUUUGAGACGGAGUGUCAUUCUGUUGUCCAGGCUGGAGUGCAGUGGCACGAUCUUGGCUCACUGCAACCUCCGCCUCCCAGGUUCAUGCGAUUCUUUUGCCUCAGCCUCCUGAGUAGCUGGGAUUACAGGCUCACACCACCACACCCAGAUAAUAUUUUCUGUAUUUUUAGUAGAGACAGGGUUUUACUAUGUUGACCAGACUGGUCUCCAACUCCUGACCUCGUGAUCCGCCUGCCUCGGCCUCCAAAUGCUGGGAUUACAGGCGUGAGCCACCGCACCCAGCAUUAUUUUAUUUUUAUUUUAUAUAUUUUUUGAGAUGUCUCACUCUGUCUCCCAAGCUGGAGCGCAAUGGCGCGAUCUCAGCUCACUGCAAGCUCCACCUCCCAGGUUCACGCUGUUCUCCUGCCUCAGCCUCCCGAGUAGCUGGGACUACAGACACCCGCCACCACACCCGGCUAAUUUUUUGUAUUUUUUAGUAGAGACGGGGUUUCACUGUGUUAGCCAGGAUAGUCUUGAUCUCCUGACCUUGUGAUCCACCCACCUCGGCCUACCAAAGUGCUGAGAUUACAGGUGUGAGCCACUGCGUCCAGCUUUUUUUUUUUUUUUUUUUUAAGACAAGGUCUCACUCUGGUUGCCCAGGCUGGAGUGCAGUGGUAUGAUCUCAGCUCACAGCAGCCUCAACUUCCUGGGCUCAGGUGAUUGUCCUACCUCAUCCUCCCAAGUAGCUGGGAUUACAGGUGCACGUCACCACGACUGGCUAAUUUUUGGUAUUUUUAGUGGAGAUGGGGUUUGGCCAUGUUGCCCAGCCUGGUCUCGAACUCUGAUAUGUGCCACUGUUCCGAGCCGAUUUUAAGUUUUUACUUUAUAGAGAAAGGGUCUCACUUUGUUGCCCAGGCUAGUUUCAAGUGAUCCUCCUACCUUGGCCUCCCAAAACGCUAGGAUUACAGGUGUGAGCCACUGCGCCUGUCCUGUCCUGUCCUGUCCUGAUGUCUAACAUCUUGGAUUAGUGCUGCCUGUUUGUGAACUUUAUAUAAUGGAAUUACACAGUAUGUACUCUUUAAGUCUGGCUUCUUUUGCUCAACGUUAUAAUUGAGUGAGUCACCGUCCAUUGUGUGUAGCAGUGAUUCCUUCAUGCUUAUUGUUCUGUGAUAGUCCAGCAUCUACUGUUGUUAUUGUACUGCAGUUUAUCCAUUCUCCCAUUGAUUAACAUUUGGAUGAUUUGUAUAUUACAAAAAAUACAAGUAAGGUUUUUACAGAGUGGCUAGUAAUACAUUUAUAUAUGCCUAUGUAUGCCUCAAGUUCUUUCCAGAAGGAUACACAAGCAACAUAGCAGUAGCUUCCUCUCAGGAGGGGAGGUGGGUUGAACAACAGUGUUAGUUUUCACUGGCACUUUUAAGUUCAAGCUGGAGAUGUUAAUGUCUGAUGAGAUUUUCAUUUUUAUUUAUUUAUUUAUUUAGAGACAGAGUCUCAUUGUUAUCACUCAGGCUGUAGUGAAGUGAUGUGAUCUUGGCUCACUGCAGCCUCCGCCUCCUGGGUUCAAGCAAUCCUUCUGUCUCAGCCUCCUGAUUAGCUGGGACUACAGGCGCUGAUGAGGUUUUUAAAAGAAUUGUUUUCUUUUCUUUUUUUUUUUUUCCAGACUGACUCUUGCUCUUGUUGCACAGGCUGGAGUGCAAUGGCACAAUCUCGGCUCACUGGAACCUCUGCCUCCCAGGUUCAAGCGAUUCUCCUGCCUCAGCCUCCCGAGUAGCUGGGAUCUACGGGGAUGUGCCACCAUACCCAGCUAAUUUUGUAUUUUUGGUAGAGACGGGGUUUCUCCAUCUUGGUCAGGCUGGUCUCCAACUCCUGCCCUCAGGUGAUCUGCCCACCUCGGCCUCCCAAAGUGCUGGGAUUACAGACAUGAGCCACCGCACCCGGCCGUCAGCCCAGGUUUUCUAAGAUCAGCAAAUGUCCAUAGGGCAGAGGGGGGUCUUCUGUGCUUUUCUUAGAAUGAUUUCUUUUUUCCCAAAAUGUUCUGUUACUAUCUUGUCAGCUCUUUGAGGCUGUGAGGAAAUUUUUUUCUAAUAUCCUGCAAUUUUAGUUGUUUUUGAAAGCAUUUUGGGCCAGGUACAGUGGCUUAUAGCUAUAAUCCCAAUACUCUGGAAGGACGAGGCAGGAGAAUUGCUUGAGCCCAGGAGUUCAAGACCAGCCUGGGCAACAAACCAAGACCCUGUCUCUACUUUUUAAAAAGAGAAAAAGCAUGCUGGGCACGAUGGCUCACGCCUGUAAUCCCAGCACUUUGGGAGGCCAAGGCGGGUGGAUCACCUGAGGUCAGGAGUUCGAGACCAGCCUGGCCAACAUGGUGAAACCCUGUCUCUACUAAAAAUAUAAAAAUUAGCCAGGCAUGGUGGCACAUGCCUGUAAUCCCAGCAACUUGGGAGGCUGAGACAGGAGAAUCACUUGAGCCCAGGAGACAGGUUGCAGUGAGCUGAGAUCAAGCCACUGCAUUCCAGCCUUUGUGACAGAGACGAGACUGUGUCUCGAAAAAAAGAGAAAAAGCAUUUUGGUCUAAAUGUAUUGUUGGAAAUAGCACUUUUUGAGCAGUUCUUAAAAAUAGAUAAUUUUAGGCUGAGUGCAGUGGCUCACACCUGUAAUCCUGUCACUUUGGGAGGCCAAGGCCGGUAGAUCACCAGAAGUCAGGAGUUCAAGACCUGCCUGUGCAACAUGGUGAAACCCCGUCUCUACUAAAAAUACAAAAAAAAUUAGCCAGGCAUGGUGGUGCGUGCCUGUAAUCCCAGCUACUCGGGAGGCUAAGGCACGAGAAUCGCCUGAACCUGGGAAGCAGAAGCUGCAGUGAGCCGAGAUUGUGCCACUGUACUCCAGCCUGGGUGACGGAGUGAGACUCUGUCUCAAAAAAAGAAAAAAACAUAAUUUUGAUACAUAAUUUGCAUGAUAAAUCAGGCGCGUUGGUUCAUGCUUGUAAUCCCAGCACUUUGGAAGGCUGAGGUAGGUGGAACACGAGAUCAGGAGAUCAAGACCGUCCUGGCCAACAUGGUGAACCCCGUCUCUACUAAAAAUACAAAAAUUAGCUGGGCGUGGUGGCAGGUGCCUGUAGUCCCAGCUACUUGGGAGGCUGAGGCAGGAGAAUCGUUUGAAUCUAGGAGGCGGAGGUUGCAGUAAGCCAAGAUCACACGACUGCACUCCAGCCUGGGCAACAGAACGAGACUCCACUUCAAAAAAAUAAAUAAAUAAAUAAAAGGCCGGUCAUGGUGGCUCACGCCUGUAAUCCCAACACUUUGGGAGGCCAAGGUGGGCGGAUCACUUAAGGUCAGGAGAUCAAGACCAGCCUGACCAACAUAAAGAAACCCUGUCUCUACUAAAAAUACAAAAUUAGCCGGACGUGGCGGCGCAUGCCUGUAAUCUCAGCUACUCGGGAGGCUGAGGCAGGAGAAUUGCUUGAACCCGGGAGGUGGAGGUUGCAGUGAGCCAAGAUCGUGCCAUUGCAUUCCAGCUUGGGCAACAAGAGUGAAACUCCAUCUCAAAAAAAAGACAAAAAAACAAAAAAACUUGCAUGAUCCCAGCACUUUGGGAGGCUGAGGCAGGCAGAUCACAAGGUCAGGAGAUCAAGAUCAUCCUGGCUAACACGAUGAAACCGCGUCUCUACUAAAAAUACAAAAAAUUAGCCGGGCAUGGUGGUGGGCGCCUGUGGUCCCAGCUACUCGGGAGGCUGAGGCAGAAGAAUGGUGUGAACUCGGGAAGCGGAGCUUGCAGUGAGCAGAGCUCGCGCCACUGCACUCCAGCCUGGGCGAGAGAGCGAGACUCUGUCUCAAAAAAAAAAAAUUGCAGGAUAUAAACUUCACCAUUUUAAAGUGUGCAAUUCAGCCAGGUGUGAUGCUUUACACCUAUAAUCCCAGCACUUUGGGAGGCCAAGGCUGGCAGAUCACUUGAGACCAGGAGUUCAAGACCAGCUUGGCCAACAUGGUGAAACCCCAUCUGUACUAAAAAUACACAAAUUAGCUGAGUGUGGGGGUGCAUGCCUGUAAUCCCAGCUACUUGGGAGGCUGAGGCACAAGAAUCGCUUUAUCCUAGGAGGUGGAGGUUGCAGUGAGCCAAGAUCACGCCACUGCACUCCAGCCUGGGUGACAGAGUGAGACCCUGUCUCCAUAAAUAAAUAGAAUGAAUGAAUGAAUGAACAGUUCAGUGGUUAUUAGUAUGUUCACAGUGUUUUGCAACCAUCUCCACUGUCUAAUUCCAAAACAUUUCUGUCCCCGCAAAAAGAAACUCCCUACCCACUAGCAGUCACUCGCAGUUCCCCAGUUCCCCCUUUCUGCCAUCCCCUGGCAAACCACUAAUCUGCUUUUGGUCUCUCUGCAUUUGACAUUUCAGAUAAAUGGAAUCAUGUAAUAUAUGGGCUUUUGUGUUUGGGUUCUUUCACUGAGCAUGUCUUCAAGUUUCAUCCAUGUUAUAGCAUGUGUCAGUACAUUCCUUUUAUAGCUGAAUAAUAUCCCAUGUAUUAAUGUACCGCAUUUUGUUUAUCCAUUUGUUGUUGGACAUUUGGGGUUUUGGGUUUUGGGGGGUUUUUUGUUCCUUUUUUCACUUUUUGGCUUAUGAAUAAUGCUGCUGUGAAUAUUCAUCUAGAAGUUAUUGUGUGAACAUAUGUUUUUAAUUUUCAGAUAUAUAUCUUAGUUGUGGAAUUUCUAUGUCAGUUUGGGUAGUUUGUUUUUGAAAGUUCAUCUUGCUUUAAAAUAAAUACUCUCAUUUCAUUUUUAUGGCUUCUGGAAGACUUGGUUUUUGCCGUAAGUCAGCUAGCCUGAUACAAACAGAUUUGCCAAAAGUAAUAACACGUCAUUGUUAUUGGAAGUUUUCCAAUGUUGUUUUAAAUCAUGCUUUUAUAAAUCAAAGAAAACUGAGCCAGGCUUGGUAGCAUGUACUUGUAGUCCCAGCUAUGGGAGAGAGUCCCUUAUAGCCCCUGCCUUAGGAGGCUGAGGCAGGAGGAUGACUUGAGCUCAGGCGUUUGAGGCUGCAGUGACCUAAGAUCUUAACCACUGCAAUCCAGCCUGGGUAACAAAGUGAGACCCUGCCUCUAAAAAUAAAUAAAUAUAUAAAUAAAUAAAAAUAAAGAAAACUUUCUCCCUUGCCAGGAUCAUGUCAGGCCUUUUUCUUUCUUUCUUUCUUUUUUUUUUUUUAGAUAGCAUCUUACUCCUCCAGUUGUCCAGGCUAGAGUGCAGUGGCCAAAUCACAGCUCACUGCAGCCUCAACUCCUGGGGGCUCAGGUGAUCCUCGUAUCUCAGCCUCCCAAGUAGCUGGGACUACAGGAGUGCACCACCACAUCUUGCUAAUUUUUGUAUUUUUUGUAGAGAUGGGGUUUUACCAUGUUGCCCAGCCUGGUCUCAAACACAAACUCCUGGGCUCGGGUAGUCUGCCCACCUCUGCCUCCCAAAGUGCUGGGAUUACAGGCGUGAGCCACCAUGCCUGGCCUAGUUUUUUCUCAAUACCUGACAUAUAUACGUUCUUUGGCAAUUAUAGUAGCCUCCUGCAUCCCUCUGUCACCUCUUAAUUACCAGCCUAGCUAUUCUCAACUAAUCUGGGUGGUUUAACAAAACAUUUCUCCUAAGAAUUGGCUAUUUGGUUAUUAUUUAAUAGCAUGUUUUACUGUUAUUCCUCUGUUGCUGGUUCAGGUUUGUCUUUGGCAAAGUGCUUCUUUUUUUUUCUUUUUUGACUCUUCGUUCUUAACUUGAAAGAAAUCCUAUCAGAGAUUUAGAACGUUCUUAGGUCUUAACCUAGAGGAUAUAGAAAAUUUUAAAGUAAAAUGGUGUUCAAAAUAUUUUCAGCUAAAAACAAAAUUUAAAGAUUGGACUAAUUUGCAGUUUUAUCAACAGUGUAGGAGCAUAAACUUUUUUUUUUUUUGAGAUGGAGUCUUACUCUGUCACCCAAGCUGGAGUGCAGUGACGCAGUCUCGGCUCACUGCAACCUCUCCCUCCUGGGAUUACAGGUGCCCACCACUAUGUCCAGCUAAUUUUUAGUGGAGAUGGGGUUUCACCGUGUUGGUCAGGCUGGUCUUGAACUCCCAACCUCCCAAAGCGCUGGGAUUACAGGCGUGAGUCACCAUGCCCAGCCAGCAUAAACAUCUUUAUUCCCAAAAUAAAAAAGACUAGGCCGGGUGCGGUAGCUCACGCCUGUAAUCCCAGCACUUUGGGAGGCCAAGACGGGCAGAUCACGAGGUCAGGAGAUCGAGACCAUCCUGGCUAACAUGGUGAAACCCCGUCUCUACUAAAAACGUACAAAAAAAAUUAGCCAGGCAUGGUGGCGCAUGCCUGUAGUCCCAGCUACUCAGGAGGCUGAGGCAGGAGAAUGGCGUGAACCCGGAAGGCAGAGCUUGCAGUGAGCUGAGAUCACACCACUGCACUCCAGCCUAAGCAACAGAGCAAGACUCCAUAAAAAAAAAAAAAAGACUAGAAAAUAAAAGACAAAAAAAAAGUCUAGAAAAUAAAAGUGCAAAUGAAUUGAUUAAAAAUAUAUAUAUAAACUUGGCCAGGCACGUUGGCUCACGCCUGUAAUCCCAGCACUUUGGGAAGCUGAGGCAAGUGGAUCACCUGAGAUCAGGAGUUCGAGACCAGCCUGACUAACAUGGUGAAACCUCAUCUCUACUAAAAAUACAAAAAUUAACCAGGCAAGAUGGUGGGUGCCUGUAAUCCCAGCUACUUGGGAAGCUGAGGCAAGAGAGUUGCUUGAACCCUGGAGGCAAAGGUUGCAGUGAGCUGAGAUUGUGCCAUUGUACUCUGGCCUGGGCGACAAGAGCAAAACUCCAUCUCAAAAAAAAAAAAAAAAGAAAGAAAAGAAAAGAAAAACUCUCUAGAAAGAGUGAGUUACUGUUAACUGGUGGUGGUUUUCCAGUGGUCUUUUCUCCACCUUUACAUCUAACACUCACCAUCAUUAUCACUUGCAAGUCCAUGGGGGCUCCUGGGUUAGAUGGUCCUGCUCCUCCACCUGGCUGCUCUUCCCUGACUGUGCUUUCCCCCACAGGACAUGAUCCACAUCGCAGACACCAAGGUCGCCAGGCGUUAUGGGGAUUUCUUCAUCCGUCAGAUCCACAAAUUUGAGGAGGUGAGAGAUCUGAGAGAAGAGGGGUUUGUUGGCUCAGGACAGAGCUUAGGAACUGAAUCGAGAGUUUACUUUUUUAAAAAUUUUUAUUUCUUUAUUUAUUUUGAGACGGAGUCUUGCGCUGUUGCCCAUGCUGGAGUGCAGUGAUGUGAUCUCGGCUCACUGCAACCUCUGCUUCCUGGGUUCAAGCGAGUCUCCCUCCUCAGCCUCCCGCAUAGCUGGAAUUACAGGUGUGUGCCACCACACCCAGCUAAUUUUUAUAAUUUUUGGUAGAGAUGGGGUUUCACCAUGUUGGCCAGGGUGGUCUCCAGCUCCUGGCCUCAAGUGAUCCAGCCUGCCUCAGCUUCCCAAAGUGUUGGGAUUACAGGCAUGAGCCACCAUGCCCGGCCUUUUUAAAUUUUUCAUUUCUGUUAUUAAGAAAGCCUACUGCCCUCCAGCCUGGGCAACAGAGCAAGACCCUGUCUCAGGAAAAAGAAAAAGAGGCCAGGUGCAGUGGCUCAUACCUGUAAUCCCAGCACUUUGGGAGGCUGAAUUUGAGAUCAGGAGUUCAAGACCAGCCUGGCCACAUGGUGAAACCUCAUGUCUACUAAAAAUUUAAAAAAUGAGCUGGGUGUGGUGGUGCGAGCCUGUAAUCCCAUCUACGCAGAAGGCUGAGGCAGGAGAAUCAUUUGAACCUGGGAGGUGGAGGCUGCAGUGAGCAGAGAUCGUGCCACUGCAAAAGAAAGCUUGAGGUUGGCCCUUUAAGUUUUCAAGCUAGACUGGCUGGCUGCUUGGGGUUUGGGGAGUGGGGUUGGGCCUGUAGGAAUUGCUGCAUCAGCCUUCUCCAGAGCAUCUCUUUCCAAGAUCUCCCUCUGCGGGUGGCCAGCUUUCCUCUCCCUCCCUGGUAUUUCCUAAUAUGGGUGGAUUCACUGCCUGCUCUUGCCCAUCCCUCCCCAUUUGGCAUUGUUUUCCAACUUAGACAGGUCUGGCUAGUUCCUGCAGGCUGGAGGACAGGAAGCUCUGUUUUGACAUACUUGGUGCAUUCCUUGUCUUGCCCUAGGAGAGGUCUUGUGGGUCAGGCCAAACACUGUAAGGGUGUGGGUCUCUCUUUGUGGCCAUUGCUAGGGCUACUGUGUCCUGGUGCUUUGAGUUCUGCAGCAGAGGUCAGGCUCUUCCUGCAGGAUCAUAACAGCCCUGCUGCUCUUUUUACUUUCUGGCUGUUUAGAUCACAUCUGUCAGGGUGGUGGGCUAGGACUGUCUUCUAACAAGGAUCCUGUUCAAAGCUUCUGAUUCUUCCCCUAACCGAACUAGUAACCUUGAAACGUCUGGCCAGUCUGAAUCCUUUUUCUGUCAGAUGGAUAGAGCAGUGUUGGGUAUGGGUUUGUUGAGUGUGAAGGGCAGGUAAAAGAACAAUCUGCGUGAACUGUGCAGGGCCAUAUGAAUGUCACGGCUUUGCACACACAUAGUGGACACCCACAUCAGAAACUUCCUUUCUUGGCUUCAGAGGGGCAGCUGGGAAUCUGACCUAGUGAUCAUACACACUAUAGGAAAGGGGUUGGGGAAAUCCCCAUAUGUAACUUUGCUUUUCUUUCUCUUCUAGCUUAAUCGAACCCUGAAGAAGAUGGGACAGAGACCUUGAUGACAUUCACACACAUUCAGGAACCUGUUUUGAUAUAUUAUAGGCAGGAAGUGUUUUUGCUGCCGUGAAACCUUUACCUAGAUCAGCCAUCAGCCUGUCAACUCAGUUAACAAGUUAAGGUCCCAAGUGUUUCAAGUGGAUCUCAGUAAAGGAUAUUUGGAGCCAGAUUUGUCGUCUCAUUAUUGUAGGAGAGAAUUCGUGGGUUGUGGCAGUAAUACAAUUCCCAUGUGUCCUGAUGCUUUCAGGAUACAUCAGUUGUUAGUGUUUAAAUUGAGUUAUUUUUAUUUUAUGCUUUUGAGACGGAGUCUCACUCUGUCUGCCAGGCUGGAGUGCAGUAGUGUGAUCUCGGUUUGUUGCAUCCUCCACCUCCUAGGUUCAAGCAGUUCUGCCUCAGCCUUCCAAGUAGCUGGGAUUACAGGCGUGUGCCACCACACUCAGCUAAUUUUUGUAUUUUCAGCAGAGAUGGGUUUUACCAUGUUGGCCAGGCUGGUCUCGAACUCCUGGCCUCAAGUGAUUCGCCUGCCUUGGCCUCCCAAAGUGCUAGGAUUACAGGCAUGAGCCACCACGCCCCGCCUAAAUUCAAUUCUUUUUUUUUUUUUGAGACGGAGUCUUUCUCUGUUGCCCAGGUUGGAGUGCACUGGCGUGAUCUCGGCUCAGUGCAAGCUCCACCUCCCGGGUUCCCACCAUUUUCCUGCCUCAGCCUCCCGAGUAGCUGGGGCUACAGGUGCCUGCCACCACACCCGGCCAAUUUUUUGUAUUUUUUGGUAGAGAUGGGGUUUCACCGUGUUAGCCAGGAUGGUCUCGGAUCUCCCGACCUCAUGAUCCGCCCAUCUCAGCCUCCUAAAGUACUGGGAUUACAGGCAUGAACCACUGCGCCCAGCCCUAAAUUGAAUUCUUAAAUCCCUCUUGUUCAUAAAGCAAUAUAUUCGGUUUACAGGACAUUUUCACAUUCAGUAUUUUGUUUGUGCCUCACAAGAUUGGAAGAACUUCAAAUGACCUAUAAUUUUCAUGACAUAUUUGUGGCAGUGCUGGGUCCUGGAAAGAAACUAUUGAACACCUCCUACUGCCAGGAACUGUGCAAAGAGGGAUUCAUAUACAUUACUUAGACGUUACAAUUCAGGUUUAGUAGUAGUUCCUCAUCUUAUUGAUGAGGAAAUGAACCCACAGUAUUAAUGCUAUCUAUACCUGUCACCCUGUAGUGGGUACUUGGACUGGAAGCCCCUGCUUGCAAGUUGCCUCACAUCUCUGCCUGGUUCCUUGUAUAUAAAAUAAGGUUUGCAGGCCGGGUGCGGUGGCUCACGCCUGUAAUCCCAGCACUGGGAGGCCAAGGCGGGCGGAUCACAAGGUCAGGAGAUUGAGACCAUCCUGGCUAACAUGGCCAAACCCUGUCUCUACUAAAAAUACAGAAAAAUUAGCCGGGCGUGGUGGCAGGUGCCUGUAGUCCCAGCUACUCAGGAGGCUGAGGCAGGAGAAUGGCAUGAAUCCUGGAGGUGGAGCUUGCAGUGAGCCAAGAGAUCGUACCAUUGCACUCCAGCCUGGGCGACAGAGUGAGACUCCGUCUGAAAAAAAAAUAAAUAAAUAAGGUUAGCAGAACCUGGCUCACUGGGCAGUGCUGACGAAUAAAUGAGAAUGCCAUUUGAGUGCCCAGUGCAGUGCCUGGCCUAUAAUGGAUGUUCAGUUACUAUUUCCCCACACUUGGAAUUCAUAAGCUUUUCAGUAUGCUCUUUUUGCCCAUUGGUUUGAUAAUUAUUAUUGGGAACUGAAUGGUGGUUCCCAAGAAGACAUGUCCAUAUCCUAAGCCCUGGAUGCCAUCAGCAUGACCUUAUUUGUUAGGCUGGCGUGCAGUGGCACGAUCUCUGUUCACUGCAACGUCUGCCUCCCAGGUUCAAGCUAUUCUACCUCAGCCUGCCGAGUAGUUGCAUGCCACCAUGCCUGGCUAAUUUUUUGUAUUUUUAUUUUUAUUUAUUUAUUUUUUUGAGACAGAGUUUUGGUCUUAUUGCCCAGGCUGGAGUGCAAUGGCACGAUCUUGGCUCACUGCAAUCUCUGCCUCCGGGGUUCAAGCGGUUCUCCUGCCUCAGCCUCCCAAGUAGCUGGGACUACAGGUGCAUGCCACAACGCCUGGCUAAUGUUUGUAGUUUUAAUAGAGACGAGGUUUCACGAUGUUGGCCAGGCUAGUCUCGAACUCCUGACCUCAGGUGAUCUGCCUGCCUCAGCCUCCCAAAGUGCUGGGAUUAUAGGCGUGAGCCACUGCUUCUGGCUUUUUUGUAUUUUCAGUAGAGACCGGGUUUCACCAUGUUGGUCAGGUGGGUCUCAAACUCCUGACCUCAGAUGAUCACCCAUCUCGGCCUCCCAAAGUGCUGGGAUUACAGGCGUGAGCCACAGUGCCCGGCCUUCUUCGUUUUGUUUUUGGUUUUGGUUUUUUUGAGAUGGAAUCUCACUCUGUCGCCCAGGCUGGAGUGCAGUGGUACAAUCUCAGCUCACUGCAACCUCCACCUCCUGGGUUCAAGAGAUUUUCCUGCCUCAGCCUCCUGAGUAGCUGGGACUCCAGGCACCAUUUCUCCUGCCUCAGCCUCCUGAGUAGCUGGGACUACAGGCACCCACCACCACACCUUGCUAAUUUUUGUUAUUUUUUUUAGUAGAGAUGGUGUUUUGCCAUGUUGGCCAGGCUAGUCUCAAACUCCUGACCUCAGGUGAUCUGCCUGCCUCAGCCUCCCAUAGUGCUGGUAUUACAGGUGUGAGCCACUGUGCCCAGCCAGCAUGACCUUAUUUGGAAGAAAGUCUUAAUGGUUGUAAGUUAAAGAUCUCAAAAUUAGAUCAUUGUGCUUGCUUUAGCAGCACAUGUACCAAAAUUGGAAUGAUGCAGUUUAGCAUGGCCCCUGUGCAAGGAUGACAUGCAGAUUUGUGAAGUGUUCCCAUGUCUUAAAAAUACAUUUUUUCAAAUGAGAUCAUUCUGGAUUAUCCAGGUAGGCACUAAAUCCAAUGACAAGUGUAAUGAGAGACACUGAGGAAAGAGACAGGGAGGAAGAGAAGGCCACGUGAAGACAGGCUGAUUGGAGUUAGGCACAAGCUAAAGAAUGUGCGGGGCCACUGGGAGCUCAAAGAGGCAGGGACGGAUUCUCCCCUGGAGCCUUUGGUUUUGGACUCGUGGCUUCCGGAACCGUAAGAGGAGAAAUCUCUGUUGUUUAAGUCCCAAGUCUGUGAUAGAGCAGCCCCAGGCAGGAAUUGAAUGCAGUGCCUGCUGUGUAUCAAGCCAUUGGAGGAUUCAUGGACAGAAAGCUGGGUCCUUUUCUAUGAGCAAACCAGCCAGGCACUGAUAGGCAAGGGGGAAGUUGGGAAGUGGGAAAAGACCGAAUUCCUGUCCUCAGACUCAAAUUAUAAUGGUUGAAGACAGGUGAUAAGCCAUAUUUAGUGUGUUGGAUGGUGGUAUGUGUUGUAGAGAAAAAUCGAAGGCAGGAGUUUCCAUUGUGAAUAGGAUAGUCAGGGACCACGCUCAUUGGUGUCAUUUGAGCAGAGACCUGAAGACAUUAGGAGGGGGAUGGUGCAAGUAUCUGAGGCAAGAGCUCUCCAGGAAAAAACCUGCAAGUACAAAGGUCCUGAGGCCAGAGCAUGUUUUAUAUGUGGAGCAAAUGGAGCAAGAAGGCCAGCUGGAGCAGAAGGUAGCAAGGAGGAAGAGGCCAGAUCCUGGAAUGAGGCUCCAGGUUGUAUGUAAGGCCUUGUAGAUGACUGGAAGGACCAACUUUGAAUCUCAGUGAGGUAGGAAGCCAUCCUUCACCAGAGAGGUUACAGAACUUGUCCAAGUUCCCCGAGCUAAAGGAUGGAGCCAGGAUUUUAUUUAUUUUUUGAGACAAGAGUCUCGCUCUAUUACCCAGACUGGAGUGCAGUGGCACAAGCUUGGCUCACUGCAAUGCAACCUCUGCCUCCUGGGCUCAAGCCAUCCUCCUGUCUCAGCCUCCAAAUUAACUGGUUAACUGGGACCACAGGCGUACACCACCAUGCCAAGCUAAUUUUUUAUAGUUUUGUUUGUAUAGAUGGUGUUUUGCCAUGUUGCCCAGACUGCUCUUGAACUGAGCUUAAGCAGUCCACCCACCUUGGCCUCCCGAAAUGCUGGGAUUACAGGCAUGAGCCACUGUGUCCGGCCCCAAAGGAAUUUUCAAAAAGCAGCCUCUAGUUAUAAGUCCAAACAUUUGUAGAGCUCUUGGUAGCUUUCCAAGCCGUCCUUCAUCUGUUGGCCUUCUUGGAACCGAAUGAGUGGCCCAGUGCCAGCCAGGGCUCCUUACCCCCCACUCCCUGGCUACCACAUGUGGUUCCUUGGUACAGGGUACAGGGAGGUUGCUGUGCGUUGAUUCCUCCUAAAGAAUGUCUCAUGCUUUGUCCACUAUGCCCUGACAUUUGGCGAUGGUGGCUUGCAGGAACUCCAGCUCAACUGGGCAGCCCCCUGGGUUAACGUGUUUUGAAUUCAAUGCCAGAGUUUCAUCGUUCAUGUCAUAGUUCUCUAUCAUUACAAUUAUGCCAGGUCCAAGUGUGUUGUCUGACACGGCUCUUGGCACUCUUUUUGCUGUGAGGCCAUUGCAGGAGCUCUGGGUCACACAGACCCAGUGUGUAUGAGUGCCUGGCUUGGGGCCAUCUCCCAGCAGCUUGGUCCAGGCUCGGCAGCCGGGCCAGGCAGCCAGCAACCCCUGUGAGGGGGCAGGCACAGCUGGACGCUGCCUGGCACCACUCGCGGAAUGCACAGCAUUCAUCAGCUGUGGCCAGCUCAGGAUUUUUAUUCCAUCAGAGCAGAAUAACCAGGUUCUUGAUCCCCCCCAUGCUAAGGAGAGCAAGGGCUUUGUUAUCGGGGAAUGGGGAGCUCUGGGUGGUACCAGUUUCCAGAAGUUUCUCCACCAGCAAGAGAAGGGGGCAGGGCAAAGUGUGUGGGCUUGGACUUCCUUGGACCUUGGUCUGCGUCCUGACUGCCACAUACCAGCUGAGCCAAGUUACAUAGUUUUCAAUGCCUCAGCUUUCUCAUCUCUAAAAUGGGGUUAGCGCCUGCCUCAGAAUUGUUCUGUGCACCAAAUUAUGUAAAGUUCUUAGCAAAGCACCUGGCAGUAGUGUGUGAUAAGGGGAGGGAGGCCAUUAUUAGCUGGCCAUGACCUUGGCCUCCAGAGAUGUAGAGCUAUAGAUGACAGGCAGGUCAUGUGUGGAACAGCCCGGCUACUUCCUGGUGGAGCUGGGACUGGAAACCUCCAGACUCCCCCCUGGGGCUCUCUUAACUGCUCCAAGGACCAAAGAGAAGGCCUGUGUAGACAGUGUGGAGGCCCAUUCACAGAGGCCAAGGCACUUAUGCAGAGCAGCCAGCCACGGAGGAGCUGGGCCCACGCACAGUGGCGGCAGCAGGCAUGAGAGGAGAAUUGGAGAGAUUGGGAGGUUGCAGAGGACAGGACUUGGAUGUGGCAGCUGAGUGGAUGUGGAGGCUGUAGGGAAGCGAGAUGCCCAGUUCUCGGGCUGUCUGAGAUGGGGGUUGGUGGCUGGAGCAGGUUUGGGACUGGAGGAGGUAAGUGCAAGUGGGUAAGGAACAGGAGUUUGAGGAACCUGUGGGACAUCCAGGUGGAGGUGCCCAGGGCCUAACAAUUUGGGCAGAGGCAAUGAACAGUUGGGGCUGGAACCCUAGUCUCUAGGCCCCUAGGCUAGAGCUGGUUCCUCCUCAGACAAGCCCCUGGUGGGCUUGGCAUACUUAUUCUUUUUUUUUUUUUUGAGACGGAGUUUUGCUCUUGUUGCCCAGGCUGGAGUACAAUAACAUGAUCUCAGCUCACUGCAACGUCCACCUCCCGGGUUCAAGCGAUUCUCCUGCCUCAGCCUCCUGAGUAGCUGGGAUUACAGGUGCCUGCCACCAUGCCUGGCUAAUUUUUGUAUUUUUAGUAGAGACGGGGUUUUGCCAUGUUGGCCAGGCUGGUCUUGAACUCCUGACCUCAGGUGAUCUGCCUGCCUUGGCCUCCUGAAGUGCUGGGAUUACAGGCAUGAGCCACUGCGCCGGGCCUGGGCUUGGCACACUUCUUUCCACACAGUCCCCCUCUCUGCAUCCUUCUCCUACACUGGAUUGUGAGCCCAAGAUGGGGGCGUGGGGCGCUUUUCCUCCUAUGAUGGCCUUGACCAUAGGUGGUUCCUGAUGGCUUCAUCUUCUAAAUGAGGCAGUGGGACCAGCCGCUGUCUGGGGGCUGCAGUCCUGCAUUCUAGAAUUCUGGGUGACAUCCUAAGGAUCUAAAUGGAUCUAAUAGGAGGAAAGAGGCAGCACUUGGGAGCAAUGACCCUUUCGGUAAAGCGAUUCUGUUGAAUGAAUGGUGAAUGCAAGAGGAAGUAUGUGAAUAAGGAUUGAAUGCAACAAUAUCAGUAUAGGAAUAAGGCUGGAGUGUGCCUUAAAUCCUGUCUGGAAUGUAGCGGCACAGAUAGAUGAAUUGAUGAAUGGAUGUGCUCUCCAGCCCAGCCUUUAGCCAGGGAAAGCCGUGGCUGUGCCCACGCUGGCUCUUGCUAACAGUGGCCUCCCGUCCCCACCCCCAGCCUGCCCUGCAGACUGGAUAUAGGCUGGAGUGGCUGUGGCCUGGGUCAGGCGCCGGCCUCCAGUGUGGGGGAAGGGCAUCAAGAAGAAGCUGAGAGGGAGGCAAGGGAAAGGUCCAAAGCCUGAUCAGCAAGUUCCUGAGAUUUUCCCGAAGGAGAGGGCUAGGGGAAGCAGCAACUUGUCUUGGUUCCUGUGGCUCCACAUUCCUGUCAAGCCUGCAGCUGAAAAACCUGGCUUUUCUUUAUUUCUGGCCCCACCCUGCCCCUAUCCAGCCACGUGAUUAAGAUCAAGUUAUCUCCUUCACGCCCUGACUCCCACCCCUACUUUCUUCCCUGGGGCCAGUGGAUCCUGAGAGGGUGGACUUCACUCUCUAGUCAUGGUUGGGAAGUGGAAGGGAGUCUAGGUUCAAACCCUGACGCUGCCCCUUGAAACUGGAAAAUUCCAGGCACUUGGCUUAGCUUCUCUGAGCCUCUGCUUUGUCAUCG
rnacentral:sRNA from 1 species